rnacentral:misc_RNA from 1 species
AAAUGCGAUAAGUAGUGUGAAUUGCAGAAUUCAGUGAAUCAUCGAAUCUUUGAACGCACAUUGCGCCCCUCGGUAUGCCGUGGGGCAUGCCUGUUCGAGCGUCAUCUACACCCUCAAGCUCUGCUUGGUGUUGGGCGUCUGUCCCGCCUCCUUCGCGCGCGGACUCGCCCCAAAUCCAUUGGCGGCGGCCCUUGCCUCCCUCUCGCGCAGCACAUUGCGCUUCUCGAGGCGCGGCGGACCGCGUCCAGCAAGCAACCGUCACACCGUCUUUGACCUCGGAUCAGGUAGGGAUACCCACUGAACUUAAGC